UACGUAGGAGGCGAGCGUUGUCCGGAAUUACUGGGCGUAAAGCGCGUGUAGGCGGUCUGAAUAGUCUGCUGUGAAAGCGCCUGGCUUAACCGGGCGAGGUCGGCGGAAACUCUCAGACUGGAGGCCGGUAGAGGGGGGUGGAAUUCCCGGUGUAGUGGUGAAAUGCGUAGAGAUGUGGAGGAACACCGAUGGCGAAGGCAGCCCCCUGGGAUAACACUGACGCUCAUGCACGAAAGCGUGGGGAGCAAACAGG
rnacentral:rRNA from 1 species